rnacentral:rRNA from 1 species
ACGUAGGGUGCGAGCGUUAAUCGGAAUUACUGGGCGUAAAGCGUGCGCAGGCGGUUGUGUAAGUCAGAUGUGAAAUCCCCGGGCUCAACCUGGGAACUGCAUUUGAGACUGCACGGCUAGAGUGUGACAGAGGGGGGUAGAAUUCCACGUGUAGCAGUGAAAUGCGUAGAUAUGUGGAAGAACACCGAUGGCGAAGGCAGCCUCCUGGGACAUAACUGACGCUCAGGCACGAAAGCGUGGGGAGCAAACAG